rnacentral:tRNA from 1 species
ACUAUUUUGGCAGAUAAGUGCCAUGGGUUUAGAAUUCAUAAAUGUAAGAAUGUCUUACAAAUAGUA